rnacentral:rRNA from 1 species
AGUGAACGCUGGCGGCAGGCCUAAUACAUGCAAGUCGAACGGCAGCACAGCAGAGCUUGCUCUGUGGGUGGCGAGUGGCGGACGGGUGAGGAAUACAUGGGAAUCUGCCCAGUCGUGGGGGAUAACGUAUGGAAACGUACGCUAAUACCGCAUGCGCCCUACGGGGGAAAGCCGGGGACCGCAAGGCCUGGCGCGAUUGGAUGAGCCCAUGUUCGAUUAGCUAGUUGGCGGGGUAAAGGCCCACCAAGGCGACGAUCGAUAGCUGGUCUGAGAGGAUGAUCAGCCACACUGGAACUGAGACACGGUCCAGACUCCUACGGGAGGCAGCAGUAGGGAAUAUUGGACAAUGGGGGCAACCCUGAUCCAGCCAUGCCGCGUGAGUGAAGAAGGCCCUCGGGUUGUAAAGCUCUUUGUCCGGAAAGAAAAGCAAUCGGUUAAUACCCGGUUGUUCUGACGGUACCGGAAGAAUAAGCACCGGCUAACUUCGUGCCAGC